CGAGUAAGACAGACAGUCGCGUGGGCAGGCCGAAAGGCCGUCCAUGAGGAAAGUCCGGGCUCCAUAGGGCAAGGAUAACGGGUAACGCCCGCCGAAGGCGACUUCAGGAAAAGUGCAACAGAGAUAUACCGCCGCCAUAGCUUCUCUGUGGCGGUAAGGGUGGAAAGGUGCGGUAAGAGCGCACCCGACGGCUGGGAACUGUCCGUCGCUGUAAACUCUAUCCGGAGCAACACCGUGGGAGGACACAGAAGGCCGGCCCGGCCGUCCUCAGGAGGUGGCUUGAGCGUACCGGCAACGGUGCGCCUAGAUAGAUGACUGUCAAAUACAGAACCCGGCUUACAGUUUUGCUCGUGAA
rfam:Oscillibacter sp. 1-3 genomic scaffold acPPL-supercont1.5, whole genome shotgun sequence.